GUCAUGGUGGCCGAGUAGUUAAGGCGAGUGAUUUGAACAAAGAUAGUUUGUGUCUACAAUAUCACUUGGUGUUUCACCGCGUAGGUUCAAAUCCUGCCCAUGACG